rnacentral:ribozyme from 1 species
AACAUUGGGAGAUUAUCUUCUUGAAUAUUUUAUUUUGAUUUUUUUGGUAUCUUUUUUCUUUCCCUUAAUUCUAUGAAC